rnacentral:rRNA from 1 species
AAUGAACGUUGGCGGCGUGGAUUAGGCAUGCAAGUCGAGCGGGAAAGUCCCCUUCGGGGGGCGAGUAUAGCGGCGAAUGGGUGAGUAACACGUAGGUAACCUGCCCUGGAGAUCGGGAUAACCCAUCGAAAGACGGGCUAAUACCGGAUGAGACCACGGGGUCUUCGGACCUUGGGGGAAAAGGUGGCCUCUGCUUGCAAGCUACCACUUCAGGAUGGGCCUGCGAGCCAUUAGCUAGUUGGUGAGGUAACGGCUCACCAAGGCAAAGAUGGCUAGCUGGUCUUAGAGGAUGGCCAGCCACACUGGGACUGAGACACGGCCCAGACUCCUACGGGAGGCUG